GGCCUCUUAGUUUCUGCCCAUCUAUGGAACUGUACCAUGCUGAGAAGGAAAAAGGCAUCACCUGCACUGCUUGUGGCAGCAGGUUAAACAUCCAAGCCAGCAUCCAGAGUGGCAUCAGGGCAUCUGGCUGGUCGUUUAUUUACAGCUGUCUGGUUUCUCUACAAAAUGAAGAAUGAGCCCAGAAAAGAAAAAUAUGCUAAUUGCAACCAGAAACGGUUGUCAGUAUGGUAACGGACAGAACAUAAAAAUAAUCAGGAAACACUGGCAUAUCCAAUUGCAUGCAAACAUCCUAGAUAUAACGUUUCCACUGGACUGGUUAGAAGAAUGACAUAGGGCAGGGGAGGAACAGUCCCACAGUAAGAGGAACAAGGCAAAGUUUUAAUGGGCUGUUUUCCAACUGCUUCUGGCUUCCUGGAGAUGUGACAGUUAAACGGGAUGUUUUGCUGGCCUCCUGUGGGAUGGGAGUCCAAGAAAAGCACCAACAUGUCUGCUACUUGGAUCCAACUCAAGCCCUAAAGUGGGAUAAAUUUAAUUGGCAAUGCUGAUACUCCUUUCCUCUUUGCAAAUAUUCAUGAAAUUUUGUGUAGUUUGCAAGCAAGUGUAGACUACUAAAAUACUUUGUGAAAUAGAAUUAACAUUUCCCUCCAGCUCCUAUAAAUUAUUUAUAUCAGUGCUUUUUCAUGUCUGUUCAGUGUCCAGUCUUUCAUCAGACAUUAAGUUAAUAAGAAAAAUAAGUGUUUCU